rnacentral:lncRNA from 1 species
AUGUGUAAAUCUCGAGCUGGGCGUGUGGGUCUGCAAUUUGCCCCAGUGCCCCAGCUUUGCCCCUCCGGGCCCCUUUUCCAGCAGGGUCUGUGUGGGGAGCAUUUCUGCACCAAGAAAACUGUUGGAGCUCUUGGAAAAGGGGGCGAGGAAGCGGGGCAGGAGCUGAACGGGAGCGGGGUAAGGGAGCAGAGCGUUCCCCAGGCAGGGCUUUUCCCUGGGGCUUCAGCGAGCGACUGCUGGAGCGCACGUGUGCUCCGCCUGCCGCACGGCAGCGYGCUCCCGGCACCGUUUUCCAGGCUCCCUUCGAAAAAUCACUGCCACCGCUUUGCACAGCAGCGAGCAUCCCGUGCCCAGCGGGAUGGCGCGCGCAGGGUCCCGCGGGGCCGGGGCCACCCGGACGGUGCUGCGUGUGCUGCGGCCAAYGCUGCCGGCACCUCCGCGCGUGGUCAGGGCGCGAGAGCAUCCCGGAGAGGGCGAGAGCCGCUGGGGCUCCGGGAGAAACGGUGUGCGUGGCUGGGAGCGCUGCAGCGCCGGUGGCCCCAGGGAGCGGGGCGCUUCCCUCCGGCCCCUCCGGAUGUUUGCRCCGUUUUAGGAGGAGCGGCGCGAGCUCGCCGCGCUUGCAGCUUAGCCCGUUUAUUCAGCGAAGGGAGGGGGUUCAGGCGCUGCGCUGCUGCUCCCCGGGGAUUUGGUGCGCUGCUUGCAAGCGCUCUCCGGUUUGAAGCCCGGCGGGAAGGACGCGGGUGGGCGGCUGGCGGCGCGAGGAGGUUCCCUGCCCCGGGUGCGGGUGGGCACCGCGCGGCGGGCGCUUGGCUGGCGGGACGGGAAUGCAGCCGGCGCGGCGGGCGGCAGGUACGGACACGACGCGGCUCCGCUCGCAGAUGUGYGGUUAGGCGAGAGGAGAUUGCAGAUGUUCCUGGAAUUCCCAAACCGGAUGCGGAGCAGCGAACAGGAUGCAGCGGGGGYGGAGGCUUGCCGGGAGCUCAGCAUAAUGAGAGGAUCGGGUUUUGCCCUGCCGCAGCUCCCUGCUCGCCGCUGCGCUCGAGGCGCGCCGGGUCUCCGCGGGUCGUUCCCCGAGCCCACGACGACCCCGGUUCCUAG